GUGCCAGCAGCCGCGGUAAUACGUAGGGUGCGAGCGUUGUCCGGAUUUAUUGGGCGUAAAGGGCUCGUAGGUGGUUGAUCGCGUCGGAAGUGUAAUCUUGGGGCUUAACCCUGAGCGUGCUUUCGAUACGGGUUGACUUGAGGAAGGUAGGGGAGAAUGGAAUUCCUGGUGGAGCGGUGGAAUGCGCAGAUAUCAGGAGGAACACCAGUGGCGAAGGCGGUUCUCUGGGCCUUUCCUGACGCUGAGGAGCGAAAGCGUGGGGAGCGAACAGGCUUAGAUACCCUGGUAGUCCACGCUGUAAACGGUGGGUACUAGGUGUGGGGUCCAUUCCACGGGUUCCGUGCCGUAGCUAACGCUUUAAGUACCCCGCCUGGGGAGUACGGCCGCAAGGCUAAAACUCAAAGGAAUUGACGGGGCCCCGCACAAGCGGCGGAGCAUGCGGAUUAAUUCGAUGCAACGCGUAGAACCUUACCUGGGUUUGACAUGGAUCGGGAGUGCUCAGAGAUGGGUGUGCCUCUUUUGGGGUCGGUUCACAGGUGGUGCAUGGCUGUCGUCAGCUCGUGUCGUGAGAUGUUGGGUUAAGUCCCGCAACGAGCGCAACCCUUGUUCACUGUUGCCAGCACGUUAUGGUGGGGACUCAGUGGAGACCGCCGGGGUCAACUCGGAGGAAGGUGGGGAUGACGUCAAGUCAUCAUGCCCCUUAUGUCCAGGGCUUCACGCAUGCUACAAUGGCUGGUACAGAGAGUGGCGAGCCUGUGAGGGUGAGCGAAUCUCGGAAAGCCGGUCUCAGUUCGGAUUGGGGUCUGCAACUCGACCUCAUGAAGUCGGAGUCGCUAGUAAUCGCAGAUCAGCAACGCUGCGGUGAAUACGUUCCCGGGGCUUGUACACACCGCCCGUC
rnacentral:rRNA from 1 species